GUCAAGCGAAUAAGCG
rnacentral:rRNA from 1 species